AAGGUAAUUAAGAUGAAGAAAGCAAAGGUAGGAUGCACAGUGUGGGGUGGACAGUCAGCUGUCAGUGGCUUCUGCUGAGAUGGCCACAGGACUCCAGGUUCCCCUGACGCGGUUGGCCACAGGACUGCUGCUCCUCCUCAGUGUCCAGCCCUGGGCUGAGAGUGGGAAGGUGCUGGUGGUGCCCAUUGACGGCAGCCACUGGCUCAGCAUGCGGGAGGCCGUGCGGGAGCUCCAUGCCAGAGGCCACCGGGCGGUGGUCCUCACCCCGGAGGUGAAAAUGCACGUCAAAGAAGAGAACUUUUUCACCCUGACAACCUAUGCCAUUCCAUGGACCCAGGAUGAAUUUGAUCGUUUUGUGCUGGGCCACACUCAACUGUGCUUUAAAACAGGACAUUUUCUGAAGAAAUUUUUCAAAAGUAUGGCAAUUUUGAACAAUAUAUCUUUGGUCUUUCAUAGGUCUUGUGUGGAGCUACUGCAUAAUAAGGCCCUGAUCAGGCACCUGAACGCUACUUCCUUUGAUGUGGUGUUAACAGACCCCGUUAACCUCUGUGGGGUGGUGCUGGCUAAGUACCUGUCGAUUCCUGCUGUGUUUUUUUUGAGGUACAUUCCAUGCGAUUUAGACUUUAAGGGCACACAGUGUCCAAACCCUUCCUCCUAUAUUCCUAGAUUACUAACAACCAAUUCAGACCACAUGACAUUCCUGCAAAGGGUCAAGAACGUGCUCUAUCCUCUGGCCCUGUCGUACAUUUGCCAUGCUGUUUUUGCUCCUUAUGCAAGCCUUGCCUCUGAGCUUUUUGAGAGAGAGGUGUCAGUGGUGGAUCUUCUCAGUCAUGCAUCCGUGUGGCUGUUCCGAGGGGACUUUGUGAUGGACUACCCCAGGCCGAUCAUGCCCAACAUGGUCUUCAUUGGGGGCAUCAACUGUGCCAACAGGAAGCCACUAUCUCAG